GAGGAGAAACUGGAGAAAUACACCUCAGCUGUGCAGCGAUCCGAGGUGAAGUCCCCGGUGACCAUGCCGAGAGGUUUUCUCCCCUCCUUGGAGGGUGUGGCCAGCAAGCGCAGCAUCUUCGAGGCCAAUGCCCCCAGCAAAGCUGAUCCAGCCCCCGUCAGAAAGGAGAAUUUGAGGCUCCCUGGCGUGGUGUCAUCUCGCAUCAACCUGUGGAUAAGCAAGGCCCAGGAACCCAGCAAGGAUGGAGGAGUCAAGGACGCUGGGAGAACCGACAGCGUGACAAAGCGCAACCUCUGGGCCAAGCGGCCUGACGACUCCUCCAGUGACACCAGGGUAAGAGCAGAGGGAGCAUGGAGCUCGCUCACGUGACCUGCCCGGAUUGU
rnacentral:lncRNA from 1 species